rnacentral:rRNA from 1 species
UACGAAGGGGGCUAGCGUUGCUCGGAAUCACUGGGCGUACAGGGUGCGUAGGCGGUUCUUUAAGUCAGGGGUGAAAUCCUGGAGCUCAACUCCAGAACUGCCUUUGAUACUGAAGAUCUUGAGUUCGGGAGAGGUGAGUGGAACUGCGAGUGUAGAGGUGAAAUUCGUAGAUAUUCGCAAGAACACCAGUGGCGAAGGCGGCUCACUGGCCCGGUACUGACGCUGAGGUGCGAAAGCGUGGGGAGCAAACAGG